rnacentral:rRNA from 1 species
UACGUAGGCAGCGAGCGUUGUUCGGAAUUACUGGGCGUAAAGAGUGUGUAGGCGGUGCUCUAAGUUCGGUGUGAAAUCUCCCGGCUUAACUGGGAGGGUGCGCCGGAAACUGGAGUGCUCGAGCGUGGGAGAGGAAAGCGGAAUUCCUCGUGUAGCGGUGAAAUGCGUAGAUAUCAGGAGGAACACCUGCGGUGUAGACGGCUUUCUGGACCAUUGCUGACGCUGAGACACGAAAGCGUGGGGAUCAAACAGG